CGCACUUCUAUUACGUCAAAGUCUGGCUCCAAGGGCGCCUUUUAAAGGGGCCGCGCGCUCUGGGCGGCGGGGACCCGUGGGUCCCCCUGCCGCUCUGACCGGAUACCUGGGACUCCAGGAUGCUUCCGCUGGCACCCUCUGCAAGCUGCGGCCCUGUUUCCAGCCUCAGUCAGGGCCUUCGAGGGGAUGGGACCAGCGGAGCGGAGGCGGGGAGGGUCCCUGGCUGGUGAGGGAGAAGCCUCUACAAACCCUGGAGUCCAGUUUGUAAUUACCCCGUCUCCAGUGACCGGGUUCUGCACCCCAGCCACUCCCGGCAGAACAAGUAUAUGUGAUUUUGCAAUUUCCUAACACGUCCACCCAGUUCCUGAUGCAUGACUUUACUUACAAAAAAUAGAACGCUGUUGCGCCAAGAACACUGUAAAAGGAAACAUCCUUUUAAGAAACAAGCCCUAAAUCAGGUGCUUCCACAGCCAGCUGCUGCCCACUUGCAGCACCUUGCACUGGUCAGGGCCAGGUCCUGGGGCAGCAGAGCCAGGCCUAGGGACGUUUAAUUAAACCACACCCACAGAGCUCCAGGGGCUGGAAGCAAGAACAGCGUGGAUGUAGGAGUCCAGAAAUGCCUCCGGGGUAGGAUCGUUUUGGCCUGGCCUUGGGGUAGAGUGGGCCUGAGACAGAUCCUGGCCGGAACCUUCCCUGCUGGAGGCAGUGGGAGAGACCCACGUUCAGGUUAGACUGCCGCAUCUGAAGCUCCGAGGGAACCCAUCCUACAAGACAGCAAUGUGGAGGACUUCAGGACCUAGCUCACCUGAAGCACAAAGCAGAGAAAAUGGUUCAAGUGCCUAUUCCUAGUUCUCCAAGGUUCUUUUCAAGUCUUCAUCCUCCUGGGACAGCAGAGGGCAAGAGGAUGGAGUUUCCUGACCAGAGCCCCAAGAUAGCCAAGUGAGAGGAGAGCCACUCACCAAAACAGCUGUUGUCAAGACAUUCCAGCACAGAGAGGACUGGGAAGAAGUACCUGGUCAUUCUCAUGAUCCUCCCCAGUCUAGACCCAACAAAUCAAAGGGAAAUGAAACUGGGAUCAGCCUCAGGGUCCACAGCAGAGGGGACAGGGUAAAGUAGGUGGGACAAAUAGAAGAAGGUAGCAUCAUGGGCACAGUCCAUCCCCUCCCUGAGUCAAGAUCUUUCUG
rnacentral:lncRNA from 1 species